GCCGCGGAAAUUUAACCGUGCUAAGGUAGCAUAAUCAUUAGCCCUCUAAUUAAGGGCUCGUAUGAACGAUGUAACACUUCAUUAUCUUUUUUAAUUUUUUAUAUUUAAUUUAAAUUAAGAAUUAAAAUGUUCUUAUUAAUUUAUUAGACGACAAGACCCUAUUGAACUUUACUUAAGUUUUACUGGGGCAGUAAAAAAAAUAAAAUUUUUUUUUAAUAUUUUAAAAUAAAUGACCCAAUAUAUUUGAUUAUAUGCAUAAGUUACCAUAGGGAUAACAGCGUAAUUAAUUUUUAAAGCUCUUAUUUAAAAAAAAAGAUUGCGACCUCGAUGUUGAAUUAAUGAUACUUUUUUAUGCAGUAAUAA
rnacentral:rRNA from 1 species